CGCACAUUGCACCUUUUGGUAUUCCGAAAGGUAUGCUUGUUCGAGCGUCGUUUAAAUAAUAUCAAUUUAGUUUGUAAAAGAAUUAAAUAGAUGUAAUUGAGUUUCUUGCUAUCGACAGUUCUUGUAAUUGUCCAGGCAUACUCCAAAAUAAUUGAAGCGAUUUAGAAUUAAUAUAAAUUGAACGCAUUAAAGUCUUAAAAAAACUACGUCCAAAUAAUAUUAUUCAUGAAUUAGCCAAAACAAAUAUAGAAAAUUAGAUUUAUUUCUAAUUCUUUAUUACCUUUUUAAUUAUCGACCUCGAAUCAAGUAGGAUUACCCGCUGAACUUAA
rnacentral:misc_RNA from 1 species